GAGGCUGGAGCCAGAGCCGCUGCAGCCCAGGCUGGGCCGGCUCCUGCAGAGACAUUGCGAUUCCUGGCGCUGGCUGGCUCCUGACGGAAGCAGAAAGGAGAUAGGUGUGAGCAGACCUGUAAGAAACACGAAGCAACACGUGAUUUCUGAAUCACGUUUCCACGGAGUACGGAAAAAACGGAGCUGCGCUGGACUGCUGAACUGUAAUUUCACCUGCAGCCUGCCUCUAGGCUCAGAUAGGGUCUUCAAUCCAAUGUCAGCGGCAAUCAGAGGAAGGUGACGAGAGCUGGGGAAGGAGGCAGCGAGACACGGGUGUAUUUUUGGAAGGCCGGGACCCGUCGAGCAGCGGCGUUUCAAAUGAGAUGAAGCAGUUGGAUGGCGGGGGAGGCCUUGUCAGUGGAGAACCGCGGCGCUGGAAGCUGGAUGGCCAGAUGCAGUCUGGGACCUGGCGCUCGGUGAAAAAAAAAAACCCAACGCAUUAAUUCUGACGAUCCUGAAGAGGAACCUGCGGGAGCAAGUCGCCUAGCUGAGGAACUCUGGGGCCAGUGUAUAUUAAAGGGUGUAUAUAUUACGGGUAAAAAAAUAAUUCAGAAACGUGGCCUGAGCCUUGCGGAGGCCGGGACUUGGACAGUAGGAAGAACAGAUCUGUGUUUGCCAAACUGAGUUCAGGAGGAUUGUGAA